AUGACGUCAUCAGCAAUGCGCCUGUGGUCGUUGAUGAGUCGAACUAGCUGGUUAAUUGCAAUGUGUUGGGACAAUUUUCCUUGCUUUAUUUAACCAAGCAGCCAACACAUUGCGGAAAAGUUGUUGAUAAUGGAUUACUGCAAAGACCGUCUUAAAGCAGACUGUGAGAUGUUGCUGAGGAGAUUUCAGCAGACAGAAUCGGUGCGAUACGAGCUAUUCUUGACCAUAUGGAAAGAGAUGAAGUUCCAAAGUAUUUUCUAUGGAAAAAUGGAAAACAAUCUAAAGAGGCUAUUCAGUCGUGAAGCCCUGGCUACAGCGUACACAUACUUUCUGCCACCAUACACCUUUCAGAUUAGAGUUGGGGCCUUGUACCUGCUCUAUGGGCUAUACCACUGCCAACUGUCCACACCAAAGGAAAAGACAAGGCUAGCCCUGAAGGACUGGGAGGAAGUGAAUAAGUUCCAACAGGAUGCAGUUAGUGCCCAGCACUUUGAUGUGGUCUACAUCAUCAGACAGCUCAUCUCACAAAAAGCCUUCUACUUCACUGUCAUGCCCACGCCACUGAUUUUCAAUGUGAAGAAGAGCAACAAGAACUCAAGAUCCGUGUGUGAGGAUUUCCUUGAGCGAGCGGCCCGGCCACAGGAGCUGGUCAGCAUGGACAUGCUUGAGGAGCUGGCGAACGUACAUGAGCACUAUGAGCAGGUGAAGGCAUCCAUUUCAGCCAAGCCAGGCCAGCCAGACCCAUCCAUCAAUCUGAUCCACAAGAACUUGGUGCCACGGCUACACAAUACUGUCGUGGGAUUCUACAACUGGCAGAAGGCUCAGGGUUCGGAAGAUAGUGUAGAUGGAGAUAGCGGCGAGGGAACUUCAAAUAAGCAAGAGAGUUCCCAGCGAGCUCAGCUUCUUGCAUCCAUCAAGUCUAAAUCAUAUGGUCAGAUAGUGGAGGCCUCCAAGGCCCGGCGACACCGGCAGGUUGAGAGGGAUGAGGUGGUGCUUGCUAAGGAGACGUCGCACCAUAAGAGACACAAGUCACUCAAACAAAGGACCAGUCAUCUGACCCAAGGCGCUGCAAGGGAAGAAGCUCUGAAAACCACCAGCCUGUGGUGCAUGAGUCAACUUGAAGCUCAAGUCUUGAAGAAGUUCCCACAUAUGCUGAGCACUUGUUGGCUGCUUUUCCUUCACUCUGUGGUCAGACUCAUCCCAAACCAUCUCAAUUGGGUAGAAGUCGGGUGAUUGUGGAGGCCAGGUCAUCUGAUGCAGCACUACUUCUUGGUCAAAUAGCGCUUCCACAGCCUAGAGAAACAACGAAAAAGAAAAAGAAAAGGAAAUUCAAAUGGUGACAUCACAGAAGAGGAAAAAGUUACCGACGAGUUGGGUUGGUUUAGAGUCAGUCAGACAUCAAUCCCUGUGUACAACCACCAUCAUCAUCAUAUUUGGUACAACUGAUUUUAUCCAGCAUACAUCUGGUUUCACCAUAGGUGUUGUUUAAUCACUCAAAAUGCAAUGCUUUUAAAGUCUGGCACAUAAGGAAGUUAGUCUCAAGGUGUUACCCUUCAUUUAUGAAGGCUUCGAAGACAUGCAAAGAUGUUGUUCAUGUCGCAGUUAAACAUUUUAAUUGUAUUGUGCUGGUAUCAGUCAAUGAUAUGGAUAAUUUGUUUCCAUCACUGACAAUUUUAUUGACUACUUGAUUCUUGAAAAUAUUGAGAAAAAAGUUAAAUUACGUCGAAAACCAAGUUCCCUUUCAAAUGCCUAUGAUGUUUUUGAUGCUGUUGUUGGAACAUCAAAUGUUAUUACUGUUAUGGAGUUAUGAGUUCAGAGAACAUAAUGUUGUCAAAUAUGUAUGUCUCUUUAUCAAAAUGUAUUGUUCACGUGCCGAAUACAACAGGUGUGGACUUUACAGUGAAAUGCUUACUUACAAGCCCAUUCCCAACAUUGCAAUUAAAAAGUAAGACAAAUAUUUGAAAUAAGGAUAUAGUAACACAAUAAGAAACAGUAACAAGGCUAGGUACAAGCAGUAUGAGUUCUGAGGUCUCUGUUUACAUGACGUCACUUUAAAAAAAUAAAAAUUCAUUUUUACAGAA